AAAUCAAGAGGGAGCAACCCUGAAAGAAGAUAGAUAAUAAAGAUUGCCAGAUAAGAGAAUACACAUACCUCGGUCUCUGGGAUACUCGGUAAAGCAGCACCACGAGUUGACUCACUGGGGAAAAAUUAACCUAGAGAACAUGUUGGGCUGAAACUACUUUCUGAGUUGCCUACCGUCAUUGUGUGCAACUGUGAGCAUGCGAUGUGAGACCUGUGCCAGAAAUAACCCUGCCCAGGACCCAGCACAGCCAGCUGGAAUACAAGUCAGUGGGCUGACUCCCCUGGAAUUACUGGAGACAGAUUUCUCAGAAGUGUGGCCAUGCCGGGGCUAUAAAUACUUACUAAUCCUGGUCUGCACUUACUCAGGCUGAAUGGAGGCCUUCCCUACCUGAACUGAAAAGGCCAGAGAAGUCACUCGAGACCUUUUGAAGAAAGUUAUAUCCCAGUUUGGACUUCCUCUUAUGAUUGGGUCAGACAACUGCCUUUGUCACAGAAGUUAUACAGGGAGUAGCCAAGGCUUUGGGCAUUAAAUGGAAGCUCCACAUAGUUUACUGACCUCAGAGCUCUGAGAGAAUUGAACAAAUGAAUCGCACUCUCAAGCCUACCCUGGCUAAGCUCUGUCAAGACACAGGAUGGGUGGAUGUUCUCCCACUGGCCCUGUUCUGGGUUGGAUGUACACCCCAAAAUCAUAGUUACUCUCCUUUUGAGAUUCUGUUUGGCUGGUCACUUCCUUUAAUAGCUCAGACCCGAACAGCUGACAUCGGAUGGAAUAAACUUUCUCAGUAUCUCCCCCUCCCACAGUGCCUGGAGGAUCCUGAGUUCCAGCAUCAGUUCCUGUAGAGGUACAUCUUUUUGCCUCAGAAGGACAGAGAGCCCCACCAAGGAGGUGCGGUCACAUGACAGUCCUUCCUCCUCCAUCCCUCCCUCCUAUCAGGACCGUGAGCACACACGUGCCCA